rnacentral:rRNA from 1 species
UGACAUGUGCACGCCUUUAAAACUCAAUUACCCCCUGUGCACAUUUGUAGGCUUUUGUCUACGUUUUCUUACACACACUAUAAAAGUUUAGAAUGUUUGGUUUUGGCAAUAUUUAUACAACUUUCAACAAUGGAUCUCUUGGUUCUCGCAUCGAUGAAGAACGCAGCGAAACGCGAUAAGUAAUGUGAAUUGCAGAAUUCAGUGAAUCAUCGAAUCUUUGAACGCACCUUGCGCACCUUGGUAUUCCAAGGGGCAUGCCUGUUUGAGUGUCAUUAAAUUAUCAAUCACUUUUUUCUUUUUUUCAAAAGAAAAAAAAGAUGAUUUGGAUGUGGAGUGUUGCUGGCUGUCAAAGUCAGCUCCUCUUGAAUGCAUUAGCGUGUACACUUUGUGAAUAGGCUUUGGGUUGGAGAGUGAGUAAAAUCAUAUCUCUCUAUGCCAUCGCUGUGAAGCAAAAAGUCAGCUGCAAAUACAAAAACAUAAUAAUAAACACUUGGCCUCAAAUCAGGUAGGACUACCCGCUGAACUUAAGCAUAUCAAUAAGCGGAGGAAAAGAAACUAACAAGGAUUCCCCUAGUAACUGCGAGUGAAGAGGGAAAAGCUCAAAUUUAAAAUCUGGCAGCCUAAGUUUAACGGUUGUCCGAGUUGUAAUCUAGAGAAGUGCUUUCCGUGCUGGACCGUGUACAAGUCUCUUGGAAUAGAACAUCAUAGAGGGUGAGAAUCCCGUCUUUGACACGGACUACCAGUGCUUAUGU